CAAACCUCAUCUUGAAUUAUAACUCCCACAAUUUCCACAUUUUGUGGGAGGAACCUGGUGGGAAGUAAUUGAAUCAUGGGGGCAGGUCUUUCCCAUGCUGUUCUCAUGAUAGUGAAUAAGUCUCAUGAGGUAUGGUGCUUUUAAAAACGGGAGUUUCCCUGCACAAACUCUCUCUCUCUUUGCCUGCUGCCAUCCAUGUAGACGUGACUUGCUCCUCCUUGCCUUCAGCCAUGAUUGUGAGACCUUGCCAGCCACUUGGAACAGAUAUGUAAUGACUUAAGAUACCAACUCCACAUUCUGUGGUAAGAGAUGAAGAUCCAGGAAAUGUAUGGACACCUAUAGCCUGAAGAAUAUUGUCAGAAAAAAACACUGGGAUCUGGAAGCGAAAAGGAAACAUAGAAAACGAGACAGGAAGGUGAAGAAAGUUGAAGAUAAACUUUCUUUUUCACAAUGUUUUUAUGGACAAGUUCAGCCCAUAAAUCAAAAAUUACCUUUAUGGAUGAAAUAUUAGUUAAGUCAAGAUCAUCUUUUUCAUUUCCUACAUGCAGGUUGAAUCUCAUUUAUGGAGUGAGAUGUCAAAUAACAACAAAAAAUGCACUUAAUUUGCAUAAAGAUGCUUGUAAGGUAACAUUGCUCCACACUUUGCUUUAUUCACAUCAUUAGAGGAAAUAUCUUAUUCCUCUAGCUGUUUCUGGCCAUGGCUCAAGGAAUUAAAAACUUCCAUUCAUUCCUUCAGACAGUACAGUUAACAAGAGGAUAACUUUUUUUAUUAUCUCUGUCCUUCUCCCUCAGGAAGCAGAGAAUUAUCAGAUUGGUGAGAGAAAGGAAAUAAAGGUCUGAACAUGUGUCUCAAGUCACCUCUUUUGGGAGCACUCUGUUCUCAGUUUAUUUUAAUUCUGUUUCUCAAUUUAAUGAGUUUACUAGAGCAGGGUCCACUAUUACCCUGUGGAGAUCCUUAAUGAUACAUGGAUAUGUUUAAUUCUGGGAAUAAAGUAGUUAAACUGGCUAGUGAUUAUGCCACAUUGUUAGAGUCAUCUUUGUCAAUAAGAAAGUUGUUCAUAUUUAUGACAUCUGUAUCCAUUUCUUCAGAAGUGUGACUAUUAUUCAUAUAUCCCCAAUACACACAAAAUAUAUAGUUUUAACUAAAUUUUUAAUCUGUUACAUAUUUUUCUAGGUUACUAGCUAGAGACAUCCUGGUUGUUUCCAAUUUGUUGUAAACUGGAAAUUUGAUGCUAAACAAGUAGUGUUAUGACAAGCCUUCUUAUUCAUAACUUGACAUGCUUUUGCCAGUAUAUUUUAGAUGAAAUUUUGAGAUUAUGGUGGAGUCAAAUCAUAUGAACACUUUAAAUUUUGCUCCGUUAUUACCACAUUCCUGUGCAAAAGUGACACCAAUUUACAAUGCCAUAUUGUAUAGACGUGUUUCAUGGUACCUUAAAACAAUUACAAUGUUAAUAACAAAGAUAAGUAAUCACAGAGCACUAUGUCAGAUAUAAUACUAAUUUAAAAAGUUUGAAAUAUAAUGACAAUUAACAAAAUGUGACUAGGAGGCUCAAAGUGAGCACAUGCUGUUGGUAAAAUGAUGCUAACAGACUUGCUUAAUGUAGGGUUGCCACAAACAGAAGUAAAAAGUGCUUAUUUGCCGACAACCUUGCCAAAUAUUGACUCUAUAAAAUGGUUUAAAAUUAUUUAUAUUACAGAUACUUUGCUUUGCUAUUUCUAAUUCUCUUAUUUUGUAAACAGUGUUAUUUUAGCCACAUAUGUAUUUCUUUCGCUCUGGAUUUCUCAUUUCAUUUUAAUUUUGUGUGUAUGUCCUUGAUGGAUUCUUUGAAUUUUUGUUUUCAUUGCAUCUUUCUGUAUAAUUAUUCCUGGGAUAUUGUGUCAUUUUUAAAAAUUGCAUUUCGUAGGAUGGAUUCCUAAUACUUUCUUUGCAUGUGCUUUUAUGUUAUUUUAUUUCCUUGUCUUAUUACUAAAAAGUGAUUUUAUACUUGCCAUGAUUUUCAGGUUUCCCAGCUUAAGAUGGACAGUUCUUACACUUUGAUGUAGCAUGGGCAAAUUUGUCUCUACUUUUUCACAUCAAGCUAUAGUUUAAGCAUUGAGUUUUGAAAUGUGCCCACUUUUUCCCUAGCCUGAGUGUGUAGAGAAUAAGCAGAUGAGCUCAAUUGGUGUGCAAUUUAGGUAAAAGACCUGGACUCUUUCUCUUGCCUAAAAUUUUAUUAAGUAUCUAAUCCCAUAGCUUGCUCUCUUUCCAGGAGGCAGUUUUACUGCCGCCAGGGAAAUAGCCUUGCUUUCAAAUCUCUUCCUUAAUUCAGCGCAGAGCCACCAAGGCUUUGCUUGUAUCAAUGAGCCAUCUCAUGUACCUUCAUCCCCCAUUUCACCAGUCUUUUCCUGGCACUUUCUCCCUCUAUUCCUCACUCUAAGACUGAGUGGGGAAUCAAUAUUUGGCUGUAAAGGAGUAUAUGGUGUCUUACCUUGUGUGCUGAAACAAUGUAUUUACUCAAAGUGUUAUGGAUUUUCUUUUUUCUCUACAUUAUGCCAAGACAUAAAUUCUGAGAGUGUUUAUGAUGGUGCCUCUUUUCCCCUCUGCUUUCUUUCCAAGUUAGAGACAUCAAAAUAAUAAGCCUUAACCAUUUUCCUGUUUUUAAAAGAAAUAGUUAAUUUUUAUGGGAAUUAUUAGGUGUCUCCCGGGCUACUCAUGUAAAUCCUCAUUUUAUCUGUUUUUAAAUUGAGUUAUUCAUGAGAUGCUUUCUGCAUUUUGUUUUUUAGGAAAUUUUAGGAAACAAAGAUAAAUGUCAUAUGGUCUUUCAAAUGUCAUAUGGUCUCUCAAAUAUCAUAUGGUCUCACAUCCCCUCCAAACUAUUUUAAAUAUGGCCUGACUUUGGGAAUGAAGGCUUUACUUGGACAUGGAUAUGACUGUAGGCAUUUUCCUUUAUAUUCCUUUAUAACUUACUGUUAUGCAUCUACUAGCAGCUGUUAAGGUCACUCCAAAACUGACAUUCUCUCCCCAUGUUUGCUUCCACUAAAACCCAUCUGGUGAUGGAACUGUGCAUACCUUCAUCAAGUAUUUUGAAAACAAAACAAAACAAAAUAAGCAAAAACAAAGUAAACAAAAGACAGAUAUCUGAAUCAGACAGAAUUAGUUUUGGAUCCCAGUCUGUCACCAGUUACUUGUUUAAAAUGGAGCAGGUUACUUAACAACUCUGAGAAAUAUUUACUUAAAACACUCAAGUAUAAUAUGUAUUUUGCAGACAUUUUGUGAUAAGUAAAUGAGGUAUGUGUGCAUGUGUGGGCUUGUGUAUAAAAUAAACUCUCUUGAUUGGCCUAUAUAACUGUCUUUUUCAUUCAGGAUGAAUGGUGGGUAACUUUUUUACUCACUCAAGCUACAUCGUAUUCUAUUCAGAUUAAUCUAAUUUCUUAUCUGAAAUAGUUAAAAUAUGUGAUAUACUUUGACAAAUAUCAAGGUAAUAAACAUUUGAAAAAGGACACAUUUUUCUCUUCCUUAUUUCCUUAAGCCAAUUCAUUCUUCUACUAUAUUUUAUUUUACAUAAACGUUACUUUAAUUUUAUAUAUGCACUAUGCAAUCUAAAAAGUACAAUUGCCUGUGAUGUCCAUAUACUUUACCUUUCUUAAGAGAGGUACAUUCGUUUAAUUUAUUCUUAUAAUCUAGUUGAUAUGAGUAAAUCUUUUAAAUAACUAGGGGCGAAUUUUGCUCCAAUCCACCUAUAUGAAAAUAUUUAUCAUUUUUAAAAAGGCAAUUCUCUCAGCUUAGACAAAAUAAAACCCAUCUUUACAAAAGAUACAAAAAAAAAUUCGUUGGAUGUGGUGGCAUGUGCCUGUGGUCCCAGCUACUCAGAAGGCUGAGUGGAGACGAGAAGAUCACUUGCACCCACAUGGGUUGAGGCUCCAGUGAGCCAAAUUCUUGCCUCUGCACUACAGCCUGGGUGACAGUGAGAUCUGCAGAAAGAUGAGAUGCUCUUCCAAGCAAGUAAUAGAUCUUUGGGUUGCAGAUAUUGGCAGAACAUUGGCAUAUUCUGGGACCUCAAGCAUUUGAUACCCAAGAAAAUAUAAUUUUAAUGUAUGCUUUCUAAUGUCUCUGCGGAUAUCACCAUGAGGUGCUAACUUUUUAUAUCAGAUAUUAUAACUUUAUUAUUGUAUUAUACCAAGUUGACAUUAUUGCUAUAUUUUCUUUUAUUGAUUUCAAUACUAUAAUUAUAUGUUUGCAUCCAGUAAGAAUAAAUAUGGGA
rnacentral:lncRNA from 1 species